GAUGAAGAACGCAGCGAAAUGCGAUAAGUAAUGUGAAUUGCAGAGUUCAGUGAAUCAUCGAAUCUUUGAACGCACAUUGCGCCCGUCAGUAUUCUGACGGGCAUGCCUGUCCGAGCGUCAUUUCAACCCUCAAGCACUGCUUGGCGUUGGCGGAUUGCGUGCCCUCGCGGCGCUGCAACCGCCCAAAUACAGUGGCGGUCCCGCUGCGGCUCCCUUUGCGUAGUAACUCACCUCGCAGGACCGGGCGGCGGCCUGCCGUAAAACCCCAACUCACGAAAUGUUGACCUCGGAUCAGGUAGGAAUACCCGCUGAACUUAAGCAUAUCAAUAAGCGGAGGA
rnacentral:misc_RNA from 1 species